rnacentral:lncRNA from 10 species
GAAAAUAACUGGUAAGUUUUAGAUUUAGAAAAGUUUUGGAUUCAUCUGUUUAUGAGGAGGAAAAGAGGCCAAGAAAAGGCAGCAAUUUGUCCACGUGCUUAAUUAGUGAGUGGCAGGGGCAGUAGCCUGGUCUGCUGAGCUCCCUGGAUUCCCUGAUCCCAGCCCAAAAUAGUUUCCAGUUUUCAUCUGCCAGUUGCUUCAGAGGCUUUUCUAAGGAAGACAGUUCAUAAAAUGAUCCAGAAUUCAUCCUCCUCAGGUGACAGGAUCAUUACUCUUUAUACAACCCCUAGGUCUCAGCCUAUGAACAAACACUUGUUUGUUUCUCUGUCUACCCUGUUCCAAACCAACGAACUGGAUUUUGCCAACAAGAGGAGCUGUUCCCUGUGCCUGCCCCUGAGAGUCGAUGGCUUCACAGAGAUCCCUCGCAGUCCUGUGCAGACAGAGAAUGCAGAAGAAAGGGACAACUUUUCCCAGAAUGUCAUGUUUGCUUGCAUCCUGCUAUGAAUUAUUUAGUAAGCACAAGAAGCAUUUUAUCUCCAACAAGAUGUAAACUCUGAAGUUCCUGGUUUGUCUGGGAUUCCUUAGUGUGCUAAAGAUUCGGCUUGAAAAUACUUUCAACGGAUGGAAGAGAUCCUCACAUUAACACUCAUUUAAGAAGCAGAUAAAUAAAUCCUCCACUUCCUUCAGCUCACUCCGUGUUAGGUCUGUCAGUACCCCUCCUCCCUGGACCUCUUUCCUAGUUUUUGCCUCAUUAACGGAUUCAUUUGAUACUUUCCCUGGGAAUUUGCCACCUUUGUUGGGUGACUUGGGGCAAACAGCUUAUGAGUCCUGCCUCCCUCCCAGAUGGCAC